rnacentral:rRNA from 1 species
GACGAACGCUGGCGGCGUGCUUAACACAUGCAAGUCGAGCGGUAAGGCCCUUUCGGGGUACGACAGCGGCGAACGGGUGAGUAACACGUGGGUGACCUCGCCCUCCAGCUCUGGGAGUAAGCCUCGGGAAACCGGGGUACUAAUAACUGGAUAUGACUCCAUGACGCAUGUUGUGGGGUGGAAAGCCUUGUGCGGCUGAGGAUGGGCCCG